GGCACGGUGGUGCAGUGGGGAGCACUGUCGCCUCAAAGCAAGAAGGUCUUGGGUUCAAAUCUGGCCUGGGCCU
rnacentral:tRNA from 1 species